CAAUUUUUAAUAAUGUUUUAUGUUUAAAAAGGCUGAACAGGUGAACUCUAUAGUGAUCUCAUUGCAUUACUGAGAUAAAUU